rnacentral:tRNA from 1 species
GCCUUCGUGGUGUAACGGUAGCACACUCGGUGCAUAUUCGAGAGGUCCAGGUUCGAGUCUUGGCAAGCACA